rnacentral:rRNA from 1 species
UACGUAGGCAGCAAGCGUUGUUCGGAGUUACUGGGCGUAAAGGGUGUGUAGGCGGUUGGAUAAGUGUGGUGUGAAAUCUCCCCGGCUCAACUGGGAGGGUGCGCUACAAACUGUCUGACUAGAGUGUGGGAUGGGUAAGUGGAAUUCCUGGUGUAGCGGUGAAAUGCGUAGAUAUCAGGAGGAACACCGGUGGUGUAGACGGCUUACUGGACCAUAACUGACGCUGAGACACGAAAGCGUGGGUAGCAAACAGG